AUUGAACGCUGGCGGCAGGCCUAACACAUGCAAGUCGAGCGAGCGGCGGACGGGUGAGUAAUGUAUGGGGACUGCCCGAUAGAGGGGGGUAACUACUGGAAACGGUAGCUAAUACCGCAUACUAUCGGAUAACCCAUAUGGGAUUAGCUAGUAGGUGAGGUAGUGGCUCACCUAGGCGACGAUCCCUAGCUGGUCUGAGAGGAUGAUCAGCCACACUGGGACUGAGACACGGCCCAGACUCCUACGGAGGCAGCAGUGGGGAAUAUUGCACAAUGGGCGCAAGCCUGAUGCAGCCAUGCCGCGUGUAUGAAGAAGGCCUUAGGGUUGUAAAGUACUUUCAGUAGGGAGGCGGUACCGAAAGAAGAAGCACCGGCUAACUCCGUGCCAGCAGCCGCGGUAAUAC
rnacentral:rRNA from 1 species